GGGAUGCUGGUCGCGUCCAUGCGCACCCAGAACCCUUUGUGAACUUAUACCUUUUGUUGCCUCGGCGCAUGCUGGCCUCUAGUAGGCCCCUCACCCCGGUGAGGAGACGGCACGCCGGCGGCCAAGUUAACUCUUGUUUUUACACUGAAACUCUGAGAAAAAACACAAAUGAAUCAAAACUUUCAACAACGGAUCUCUUGGUUCUGGCAUCGAUGAAGAACGCAGCGAAAUGCGAUAAGUAAUGUGAAUUGCAGAAUUCAGUGAAUCAUCGAAUCUUUGAACGCACAUUGCGCCCUCUGGUAUUCCGGAGGGCAUGCCUGUUCGAGCGUCAUUUCAACCCUCAAGCACUGCUUGGUGUUGGGGCACUGCUUCUGACGAAGCAGGCCCUGAAAUCUAGUGGCGAGCUCGCCAGGACCCCGAGCGCAGUAGUUAAACCCUCGCUCUGGAAGGCCCUGGCGGUGCCCUGCCGUUAAACCCCCAACUUCUGAAAAUUUGACCUCGGAUCAGGUAGGAAUACCCGCUGAACUUAAGCAUAUCAAAGGCCGGGAGGAAA
rnacentral:rRNA from 1 species